rnacentral:rRNA from 1 species
AACGAACGCUGGCGGCAGGCCUAACACAUGCAAGUCGAGCGGGGACUUCGGUCCUAGCGGCGGACGGGUGAGUAACGCGUGGGAACGUGCCCUUUGCUUCGGAAUAGCCCCUGGAAACGGGGAGUAAUACCGGAUGUGCCCUUUGGGGGAAAGAUUUAUCGGCAAAGGAUCGGCCCGCGUUGGAUUAGGUAGUUGGUGGGGUAAUGGCCUACCAAGCCGACGAUCCAUAGCUGGUUUGAGAGGAUGAUCAGCCACACUGGGACUGAGACACGGCCCAGACUCCUACGGGAGGCAGCAGUGGGGAAUCUUAGACAAUGGGCGCAAGCCUGAUCUAGCCAUGCCGCGUGAGCGAUGAAGGCCUUAGGGUUGUAAAGCUCUUUCGUGGGGGGAAGAUAAUGACGGUACCCCAAGAAGAAGCCCCGGCUAACUUCGUGCCAGCAGCCGCGGAAU